CGGAUUGGAGUCUGNAACCCGACUCCAUGAAGCUGGAUUCGCUAGUAAUCGCGCAUCAGCCACGGCGCGGUGAAUACGUUCCCGGGCCCUUGUACACACCGCCCGUCAAGCCAUGGAAGCCGGGAGUGCCUGAAGUACGCGACCGCAAGGAGCGUCCUAAGGUAAAACCGGUGACUGGGGCUAAGUCGUAACAAGGUACC
rnacentral:rRNA from 1 species